AUACGUAGGGUGCGAGCGUUGUCCGGAAUUACUGGGCGUAAAGAGCUCGUAGGUGGUUUGUCGCGUCGUCUGUGAAAUUCCGGGGCUUAACUCCGGGCGUGCAGGCGAUACGGGCAUAACUUGAGUACUGUAGGGGAGACUGGAAUUCCUGGUGUAGCGGUGAAAUGCGCAGAUAUCAGGAGGAACACCGGUGGCGAAGGCGGGUCUCUGGGCAGUAACUGACGCUGAGGAGCGAAAGCAUGGGUAGCGAACAGGAUUAGAUACCCUGGUAGUCCAUGCCGUAAACGGUGGGCGCUAGGUGUAUGGGUCUUCCACGACUUCUGUGCCGUAGCUAACGCAUUAAGCGCCCCGCCUGGGGAGUACGGCCGCAAGGCUAAAACUCAAAGGAAUUGACGGGG
rnacentral:rRNA from 1 species